GUUUGGGUGGCGGACGGGUGAGUAACGCGUAAAGAACUUGCCUCACAGUUAGGGACAACAUUUGGAAACGAAUGCUAAUACCUGAUAUUAUGAUUUUAGGGCAUCCUAAGAUUAUGAAAGCUAUAUGCGCUGUGAGAGAGCUUUGCGUCCCAUUAGCUAGUUGGAGAGGUAACGGCUCACCAAGGCGAUGAUGGGUAGCCGGCCUGAGAGGGUGAACGGCCACAAGGGGACUGAGACACGGCCCUUACUCCUACGGGAGGCAGCAGUGGGGAAUAUUGGACAAUGGACCAAAAGUCUGAUCCAGCAAUUCUGUGUGCACGAUGACGUUUUUCGGAAUGUAAAGUGCUUUCAGUUGGGAAGAAAAAAAUGACGGUACCAACAGAAGAAGUGACGGCUAAAUACGUGCCAGCAGCCGCGGUAAUACGUAUGUCACAAGCGUUAUCCGGAUUUAUUGGGCGUAAAGCGCGUCUAGGUGGUUAUGUAAGUCUGAUGUGAAAAUGCAGGGCUCGACUCUGUAUUGCGUUGGAAACUGCAUGACUAGAGUACUGGAGAGGUAAGCGGAACUACAAGUGUAGAGGUGAAAUUCGUAGAUAUUUGUAGGAAUGCCGAUGGGGAAGCCAGCUUACUGGACAGAUACUGACGCUAAAGCGCGAAAGCGUGGGUAGCAAACAGGAUUAGAUACCCUGGUAGUCCACG
rnacentral:rRNA from 1 species